AGAAACUUAGGUUACCCAAACCAAGGGCCUUCAAAGCCCUAAACAGGCCCACCAGGCCUAGUCUCUG
rnacentral:tRNA from 1 species